CAAAUCAGAUUUCAAUUCCUUUUUGAAUCAAAUUCAAUCCAUAUCUUAGGGACUCAAAAAAGUGGAUGACAAAACUCAGAUUGGCACAAAAACAUUCAUGCAAAAAAUCAUUUUGGCAUGAUGAGAAAGGUGGUCAACGGCUUGGAGGAGUCCAACAAAACUUGGACUCUUGGUUUCAAUCUGAUUUCAAUCUAAUUGGAACUCAAACUUGAACCAACCAAAUUGUAAUCCAAAG
rnacentral:lncRNA from 1 species